rnacentral:ncRNA from 1 species
UAUAACUGCACCUCCUGAUUUUAAGGGGACAACUUCCUGAAUUGACCCUUUUCCAUAAGUUGAGUUCCCGAUAAUUAUAGCGCGUUUAUUGUCUUGCAUGGCACCGGCAAAUAUUUCGGCGGCUGAAGCUGAUUUGUUAUUUACUAUUGCAACCAUUGGGAGUCCAGAUAGAGAAUCUCUUCCUGUGGCAGAUCUAACAAAUAUCAAUUCAUUGUCUCUUCCUUUUGCAGAAACUAUCACUCCCUUUUUAAGGAAUAAAUUCGAAACAUUUAUAGCUGACUCUAAUGUUCCACCUGGAUUAUUUCUUA